GGCGAUCAGAUACCGCCCUAGUUCUGACCGUAAACGAUGCCAACUAGCGAUCCGCCAGUCGACUCAUCGCUCUGGUGGGGAGCUUCCCGGAAACGAAAGUCUUCCGGUUCCGGGGGAAGUAUGGUUGCAAAGCUGAAACUUAAAGGAAUUGACGGAAGGGCACCACCAGGAGUGGAGCCUGCGGCUUAAUUUGACUCAACACGGGGAAACUCACCCGGCCCGGACACCGUAAGGAUUGACAGAUUGAUAGCUUUUUCAUGAUUCGGUGGAUGGUGGUGCAUGGCCGUUCUUAGUUCGUGGAGCGAUUUGUCUGGUUUAUUCCGAUAACGAGCGAGACUCUGACCUACUAAAUAGUUGACGCAUUGCCACUGUGCGCACAACAUCUUAGAGGGAUUUUCGGUGUUUUCAACCGCACGAAAUUGAGCAAUAACAGGUCUGUGAUGCCCUUAGAUGUCCGGGGCUGCACGCGCGCUACACUGGCAAACGCAACGUGCCUGUCCUGCCCCGAAAGGAGCGGGUAAACCCCUGAAAUUUUGCCGUGAUUGGGAUCGGACAUUGCAACUAUUGUCCGUGAACGAGGAAUUCCUUGUAGGGGCGAGUCAUCAACUCGUCCCGAAUACGUCCCUGCCCU
rnacentral:rRNA from 1 species